UACGGGGGGGGGCAAGCGUUGUUCGGAAUUACUGGGCGUAAAGGGCUCGUAGGUGGCCAACUAAGUCAGACGUGAAAUCCCUCGGCUUAACCGGGGAACUGCGUCUGAUACUGGAUGGCUUGAGUUUGGGAGAGGGACGCGGAAUUCCAGGUGUAGCGGUGAAAUGCGUAGAUAUCUGGAGGAACACCUGUGGCGAAGGCGGCCCCCCUGGUCGGAUACUGACGCUGAGACGCGAAAGCGUGGGGGAGCAAACAGG
rnacentral:rRNA from 1 species